rnacentral:tRNA from 1 species
CAGAGGGUAGUUUUAUUUUAGAAUUCUAGCUUUGGGAGCUAGGGGUGGGAGUUUGAUUCUCCUCUCUCUGA